rnacentral:rRNA from 1 species
AGUAGCGGCGAGUGAAGCGGGAAGAGCUCAAAUUUGUAAUCUGGCGUCCUUCGGGCGUCCGAGUUGUAAUCUAUAGAAGUGUUUUCCGUGCCGGACCAUGUCCAAGUCCCUUGGAACAGGGUAUCAAAGAGGGUGACAAUCCCGUACUUGACAUGACCACCGGUGCUCUGUGAUACACUUUCUACGAGUCGAGUUGUUUGGGAAUGCAGCUCAAAAUGGGUGGUAAAUUCCAUCUAAAGCUAAAUAUUGGCGAGAGACCGAUAGCGAACAAGUACCGUGAGGGAAAGAUGAAAAGCACUUUGGAAAGAGAGUUAAACAGUACGUGAAAUUGUUGAAAGGGAAACGAUUGAAGUCAGUCGUGUUCUUUGGACUCAGCCGGUUCUUCCGGUCUAUUUCCUUUGAACGGGUCAACAUCAGUUUUGUCCGGUGGAUAAAGGCAGGAAGAAAGUGGCUCCCUCGGGAGUGUUAUAGCUUUCUGUCACAUACACUGGAGGAGACUGAGGACUGCAGCUCGCCUUUUGGCCGGGGUUCGCCCACGUUCGAGCUUAGGAUGUUGACAUAAUGGCUUUAAACGACCCGUCUUGAACAACGGA